rfam:Bacillus sp. FJAT-22058 super1, whole genome shotgun sequence.
GAUUAUUUUAGGCAAAUUUUAUGAAAGUAAAAGACGCAAAGCCACGGGCCAAAACCAACAACUUAGUUGUCAUGGCAGCCGGGUUGCCAAG